rnacentral:tRNA from 1 species
GAACUGGUGGUUCAGUGGUGGAAUUCUUGCCUGCCACGUGGGAGACCCAGGUUCAAUUCCCAGCCAAUGCA